rnacentral:tRNA from 1 species
GAGGGUAUAGCUUAGUGAUGGAGUGCAUGCUUAGCAUACCUAGGUCUGGGUUCAAUCCCCAGUACCUCUG